GAAAUGCGAUAAGUAAUGUGAAUUGCAGAAUUCAGUGAAUCAUCGAAUCUUUGAACGCACAUUGCGCCCGCCAGUAUUCUGGCGGGCAUGCCUGUUCGAGCGUCAUUUCAACCAUCAAGCCCCGCGCUUGUGUUGGGGACCUGCGGCUGCCGCAGGCCCUGAAAACCAGUGGUGGGCUCGCUGUCACACCGGGCGUAGUAGAUUUUAUCUCGCUCAGGGCGUGCUGCGGGUUCCGGCCGUUAAAAAGCCUUUUUUACCCAAGGUUGACCUCGGAUCAGGUAGGAAGACCCGCUGAACUUAAGC
rnacentral:misc_RNA from 1 species